GCGCUGGAGAACUGAGGGGGGCUGCUCCUAGUACGAGAGGACCGGAGUGGACGCAUCACUGGUGUUCGGGUUGUCAUGCCAAUGGCACUGCCCGGUAGCUAAAUGCGGAAGAGAUAAGUGCUGAAAGCAUCUAAGCACGAAACUUGCCCCGAGAUGAGUUCUCCCUGACCCUUUAAGGGUCCUGAAGGAACGUUGAAGACGACGACGUUGAUAGGCCGGGUGUGUAAGCGCAGCGAUGCGUUGAGCUAACCGGUACUAAUGAACCGUGAGGCUUAACCUUACAACGCCGAAGCUGUU
rnacentral:rRNA from 1 species